UUCGUCCGCCGGACUCAGAAUGGGGCGAGACUUUGCGAGGGGCCUCGGGGUGCCCGCGGGAAGUCGCGGGCACAGCCGCGUCCAGAAAUAAGCGCCCGAAGGUCGUGGUGCCAAAAUCCCCCAGCGGAAAAAUGGCCAAAAAACGGGUGGGUUAUAGCCUUGGUGGGGGGCGCGGGCGAAGUUCGUCCGCCGGACUCGGAAUGGGGCGAGACUUUGCGAGGGGCAUCGGGGUGCCAAAAAUAAGCCGCGGGCAAAGCCGCGCCCAAAAAUAAGCGCCCAAAGGUCGUGGUGCCAAAACCCCCCAGCGGAAAAAUGGCCAAAAAACGGGUGGGCUAUAGCCUUGGUGGGGGACGCGGGCGAAGUUCGUCCGCCGGACUCGGAAUGGGGCGAGACUUUGCGAGGGGCCUCGGGGUGCCCGCGGGAAGUCGCGGGCAUAGCCGCGCCCAAAAAUAAGCGCCUGAAGGUUGUGGUGACAAAACCCCCCAGCGGAAAAAUGGCCAAAAAACGGGUGGGCUAUAGCCUUGGUGGGGGGCGCGGGCGAAGUUCAUCCGCCGGACUUGGAAUGGGGCGAGACUUUCUGAGGGGCCUCGAGGUGCCCGCGGGAAGUCGCGGGCACAGCCGCGUCCAGAAAUAAGUGCCCGAAGGUCGUGGUGCCAAAACCCCCCAGCGGAAAAAUGGCCAAAAAACGGGUGGGCUAUAGCCUUGGUGGGGGGCGCGGGCGAAGUUCGUCCGCCGGACUCGGAAUGGGGCGAGACUUUGCGAGGGGCCUCGGGGUGCCCGCAGGAAGUCGCGGGCAUAGCCGCGCACAAAAAUAAGCGCCUGAAGGUUGUGGUGACAAAACCCCCCAGCGGAAAAAUGGCCAAAAAACGGGUGGGCUAUAGCCUUGGUGGGGGGCGCGGGCGAAGUUCAUCCGCCGGACUUGGAAUGGGGCGAGACUUUGUGAGGGGCCUCGAGGUGCCCGCGGGAAGUCGCGGGCACAGCCGCGUCCAGAAAUAAGUGCCCGAAGGUCGUGGUGCCAAAACCCCCCAGCGGAAAAAUGGCCAAAAAACGGGUGGGCUAUAGCCUUGGUGGGGGGCGCGGGCGAAGUUCGUCCGCCGGACUCGGAAUGGGGCGAGACUUUGCGAGGGGCCUCGGGGUGCCCGCGGGAAGUCGCGGGCACAGCCGCGUCCAGAAAUAAGCCCCCGAAGGUCGUGGUGCCAAAACCCCCCAGCGGAAAAAUGACCAAAAAACGGGUGGGCUAUAGCCUUGGUGGGGGGCGCGGGCGAAGUUCGUCGGCCGGACUCGGAAUGGGGCGAGACUUUGUGAGGGGCCUCGGGGUGCCAAAAAUAAGCCGCGGGCAAAGCCGCGCCCAAAAAUAAGCGCCCAAAGGUCUUGGUGCCGAAACCCCCCAGCGGAAAAAUGGCCAAAAAAUGGGUGGGCUAUAGCCUUGGUGGGGGGCGCGGACGAAGUUCGUCCGCCGGACUCGGAAUGGGGCGAGACUUUGCGCGGGGCCUCGGGGCGCCAAAAAUAAGCCACGCGCAAAGCCGCGCCCAAAAAUAAGCGCCCGAAGGUCGUGGUGCCAAAACCCCCCAGCGGAAAAAUGGCCAAAAAACGGGUGGGCUAUAGCCUUGGUGGUGGGCGCGGGCGAAGUUCGUCCGCCGGACUCGGAAUGGGGCCAGACUUUGCGAGGGGCCUCGGGGCACCAAAAAUAAGCCGCGGGCAAAGCCGCGCCCAAAAAUAAGCGCCCGAAGGUCGUGGUGCCAAAACCCCCCAGCGGAAAAAUGGCCAAAAAACGGGUGGGCUAUAGCCUUGGUGGGGGGCGCGGGCAAAGUUCGUCCGCCAGACUCGGAAUGGGGCGAGACUUUGCGCGGGGCCUCGGGGUGCCCGCGGGAAGUCGCGGGCACAGCCGCGCCCAAAAAUAAGAGCCCGAAGGUCGUGGUGCCAAAACCCCCCAGCGGAAAAAUGGCCAAAAAACGGGUGGGCUAUAGCCUUGGUGGGGGGCGCGGGCGAAGUUCGUCCGCCGGACUUGGAAUGGGGCGAGACUUUGCGAGGGGCCUCGGGGUGCCCGCGGGAAGUCACGGGCACAGCCGCGUCCAGAAAUAAGCGCCCGAAGGUCGUGGUGCCAAAACCCCCCAGCGGAAAAAUGGCCAAAAAACGGGUGGGCUAUAGCCUUGGUGGGGGGCGCGGGCGAAGUUCGUCCGCCGGACUCGGAAUGGGGCGAGACUUUGCGAGGGGCCUCGGGGUGCCCGCGGGAAGUCGCGGGCACAGCCGCGUCCAGAAAUAAGCGUCCGAAGGUCGUGGUGCCAAAACCCCCCAGCGGAAAAAAGGCCAAAAAACGGGUGGGCUAUAGCCUUGGUGGGGGGCGCGGGCGAAGUUCGUCCGCCGGACUUGGAAUGGGGCGAGACUUUGCGCGGGGCCUCGGGGGGCCAAAAAUAAGCCGCGGGCUAAGCCGCGCCCAAAAAUAAGCGCCCGAAGGUCGUGGUGCCAAAACCCCCCAGCGGAAAAAUGGCCAAAAAACGGGUGGGCUAUAGCCUUGGUGGGGGGCGCGGGCGAAAUUCGUCCGCCGGACUCGGAAUGGGGCGAGACUUUGCGAGGGGCCUCGGGGUGCCAAAAGUAAGUCGCGGGCAAAGCCGCGCCCAAAAAUAAUCGCCCGAAGGUCGUGGUGCCAAAACCCCCCAGCGGAAAAAUGGCCAAAAAAUGGGUGGGCUAUAGCCUUGGUGGGGGGCGCGGGCGAAGUUCGUCCGCCGGACUCGGAAUGGGGCGAUACUUUGCGCGGGGCCUCGGGGCGCCAAAAAUAAGCCGCGGGCAAAGCCGCGCCUAAAAAUAAGCGCCCGAAGGUCGUGGUGCCAAAACCCCCCAGCGGAAAAAUGGCCAAAAAACGGGUGGGCUACAGCCUUGGUGGGGGGCGCGGGCGAAGUUCGUCCGCCGGACUCGGAAUGGGGCGAGACUUUGCGAGGGGCCUCGGGGCACCAAAAAUAAGCCGCGGGCAAAGCCGCGCCCAAAAAUAAGCGCCCGAAGGUCGUGGUGCCAAAACCCCCCAGCGGAAAAAUGGCCAAAAAACGGGUGGGCUAUAGCCUUGGUGGGGGGCGCGGGCGAAGUUCGUCCGCCGGACUCGGAAUGGGACGAGACUUUGCGAGGGGCCUCGGGGGGCGAAAAAUAAGCCGCGGGCAAAGCCGUGCCCAAAAAUAAGCGCCCGAAGGUCGUGGUGCAAAACCCCCCAGCGGAAAAAUGGCCAAAAAACGGGUGGGCUAUAGCCUUGGUGGGGGGCGUGGGCGAAGUUCGUCCGCCGGACUCGGAAUGGGGCGAGACUUGGCGCGGGGCCUCGGGGCAUCAAAAAUAAGCCGCGGGCAAAGCCGCGCCCAAAAAUAAGCGCCCGAAGGUCGUGGUGCCAAAACCCCCCAGCGGAAAAAUGGCCAAAAAACGGGUGGGCUAUAGCCUUGGUGGGGGGCGCGGGCGAAGAUCAUCCGCCGGACUCGGAAUGGGGCGAGACUUUGCGCGGGGCCUCGGGGCGCCAAAAAUAAGCCGCGGGCAAAGCCGCGCCCAAAAAUAAGUGCCCGAAGGUCGUGGUGCCAAAACCCGCCAGCGGAAAAAUGGCCAAAAAACGGGUGGGCUAUAGCCUUGGUGGGGGGCGUGGGCGAAGUUCGUCCGCCGGACUCGGAAUGGGGCGAGACUUUGCGCGGGGCCUCGGGGCACCAAAAAUAAGCCGCGGGCAAAGCCGCGCCCAAAAAUAAGCGCCCGAAGGUCGUGGUGCCAAAACCUCCCAGCGGAAAAAUGGCCAAAAAACGGGUGGGCUAUAGCCUUGGUGGGGGGCGCGGGUGAAGUUCGUCCGCCGGACUUGGAAUGGGGCGAGACUUUGCGAGGGGCCUCGGGGUGCCCGCGGGAAGUCGCGGGCACAGCCGCGUCCAGAAAUAAGCGCCCGAAGGUCGUGGUGCCAAAACCCCCCAGCGGAAAAAAGGCCAAAAAACGGGUGGGCUAUAGCCUUGGUGGGGGGCGCGGGCGAAGUUCGUCCGCCGGACUCGGAAUGGGGCGAGACUUUGCGCGGGGCCUCGGGGCGCCAAAAAUAAGCCGCGGGCAAAGCCGCGCCCAAAAAUAA
rnacentral:lncRNA from 1 species